rnacentral:rRNA from 1 species
GAUGAACGCUGGCGGAAUGCUUUACACAUGCAAGUCGAAACGGCAGCACGGGGGCAACCCUGGUGGCGAGUGGCGAACGGGUGAGUAAUACAUCGGAACGUGCCCAAUCGUGGGGGAUAACGUAGCGAAAGCUACGCUAAUACCGCAUACGAUCUACGGAUGAAAGCGGGGGAUCGCAAGACCUCGCGCGAUUGGAGCGGCCGAUGGCAGAUUAGGUAGUUGGUGAGGUAAAGGCUCACCAAGCCUUCGAUCUGUAGCUGGUCUGAGAGGACGACCAGCCACACUGGGACUGAGACACGGCCCAGACUCCUACGGGAGGCAGCAGUGGGGAAUUUUGGACAAUGGGCGAAAGCCUGAUCCAGCCAUUCCGCGUGCAGGAUGAAGGCCCUCGGGUUGUAAACUGCUUUUGUACGGAACGAAACGCGUCGAGUUAAUACCUUGACGUAAUGACGGUACCGUAAGAAUAAGCACCGGCUAACUACGUGCCAGCAGCCGCGGUAAUCUCG